UACGUAGGGGGGCGAGCGUUGUCCGGAAUCAUUGGGCGUAAAGCGCGUGUAGGCGGUUCGGUAAGUCCGCUGUAAAAAGUCGGGGGGCUCAACCCUCGAACGCCGGUGGAUACUGUCGAGCUUGAGUACGGAAGAGGCGAGUGGAAUUCCUGGUGUAGCGGUGAAAUGCGCAGAUAUCAGGAGGAACACCAAUUGCGAAGGCGGCGACCUGGACGGACACUGACGCUGAGACGCGAAAGCGUGGGGAGCAAACAGG
rnacentral:rRNA from 1 species